CCUACGGGUGGCAGCAGUGGGGAAUAUUGGACAAUGGGCGCAAGCCUGACCCAGCAACGCCGCGUGAGGGAGGAAGGCUUUCGGUUUGUAAACUUCUAUUAGCAGGGAAUAGUAAAGAACGUUACCUAACAAGUAGGCCCCGGCUAACUACGGGCCACCAGCCGCGGUAAUACGUAGGUGGCAAGCGUAUUCCGGAUUUACUGGGUGUAAAGGGAGUGUAGCCGGGUAGCCAAGUCAGAAGUGAAAGCCUUAGGCUUAACCUGAGCACUGCAUUUGAAACUGUUGAACUAGAGUACGGGAGAGGUAGACGGAAUUCCUAGUGUAGCGGUGAAAUGCGUAGAUAUUAGGAGGAACACCAGUGGCGAAGGCGGUCUGCUGGACCGAAACUGACGGUGAGGCGCGAAAGCGUGGGGAGCAAACAGGAUUAGAUACCCGGGUAGUC
rnacentral:rRNA from 1 species